rnacentral:rRNA from 1 species
AGAGUUUGAUCCUGGCUCAGGACGAACGCUGGCGGCGUGCCUAAUACAUGCAAGUCGAGCGGGCAUUUUCGGAUGUCAGCGGCGGACGGGUGAGUAACACGUGGGUAACCUGCCGUCAAAACUGGGACAACGCCUGGAAACGGGUGCUAAUACCAGAUAGGUUCUCGCCCCGCAUGGGGGAGGAGAAAGGCGCUCUGCGCCGCUGACGAUGGCCGCGCGCAUUAGCUAGUUGGUGGGGUAACGGGCUCACCAAGGCGACGAUGCGUAGCCGACCUGAGAGGGUGAACGG